rnacentral:misc_RNA from 1 species
GAUGAAGAACGCAGCGAAAUGCGAUAAGUAAUGUGAAUUGCAGAAUUCAGUGAAUCAUCUAAUCUUUGAACGCAUCUUGCGCUCCUUGGUAUUCUGAGGAGCAUGCCUGUUUGAGUGUCAUUAAAUUCUCAACUACACUGACUUUGAAUUGGUGUGGCUUGGAUUUGGGGGGAAAAUUGUUGUGGGCUUUUUGUAUAGUCUGCUCCCCUGAAAUUGAUUAGCGGUACCUUUGUGGAACUGUCUACAGGUGUGAUAAUUAUCUACAUCUUAGACAUCUGCUGGAAUGCUGCUUUCUAAACCUUACUUGUAUUGACAAUCUUGACCUCAAAUCAGGUAGGACUACCCGCUGAACUUAAGCAUAUCAAUAAGCGGAGGA